rnacentral:rRNA from 1 species
GUAGGGAAUAUUGGGCAAUGGAUGCAAGUCUGACCCAGCCAUCCCGCGUGCCGGAAGAAGGCCCUCAGGGUUGUAAACGGCUUUUGAUGGUGAAGAACCGACAGGAUGCGUCCUGUUUUGACGGUAGCCGUUGAAUAAGCACCGGCUAACUCCGUGCCAGCAGCCGCGGUAAUACGGAGGGUGCGAGCGUUGUCCGGAUUUAUUGGGUUGAAAGGGUGUGUAGGCUGGAAGGUCAGUCAGCGGUGAAAAGCUAUCGCUUAACGAUAGUCUUGCCGCAGAUACUUCCUUUCUUGGAUGAGGAGGAGGCCACUGGAACGGAUGGUGUAGCGGUGAAAUGCAUAGAUAUCAUCCAGAACACCGAUUGCGAAGGCAGGUGGCUGUACCUUAAUCGACGCUGAUGCACGAAAGCAUGGGGAGCAAACAGGAUUAGAAACCCCGGUAGUCC